rnacentral:tmRNA from 1 species
CCUGGCUUCGACGUGGGUUACAAAACCGGAGGUGCAUGUCGAGGAGCGAAUCACCUCGUAAAUCCAAUCGCACAUUAUAUAGUUGCCAACGACGACAACUACGCACUAGCAGCUUAAUUUAAGCAUGCUUAUCUGGGACUGCCAUGCUUGUGCGGCGUGUCCCAGAGCACAGCUCACAAGCUCGUGGAGAAGCACGUCUCGGGCCGAUCCAUUAAAACCUUAAGAGAAUCGUCAAUUUUUGGCCUGUCCGUCGGCCAUUAAACGACUAAACCUAAAGACGUGACUAAGCAUGUAGGACCAAAGGCAGAGGAUUUGCGGACGCGGGUUCGAUCA